UGCGUAGGCGGUUUCGUGUGUCGGGUGUGAAAUCUCACCGUUCAUCGGUGAAACUGCAUUCGAAACUACGGGACUAGAGUACAGGAGAGGAGAGCGGAAUUCUCGGUGUAGCGGUGAAAUGCGUAGAUAUCGAGAAGAACGCCGGUGGCGAAAGCGGCUCUCUGGACUGAUACUGACGCUGAGGCACGAAAGCUGGGGGAGCAAACAGGAUUAGAUACCCUGGUAGUCC
rnacentral:rRNA from 1 species